AAGUCGUAACAAGGUUUCCUUCACCUAUUGAAGCCUUCAGCAGCGACUGUAAAAAAAAUGCGUAGUUUGCUUGCAAGCAAUGCCACUCAAAUGCUGAGACAUAUGAAUCAGCAGCCUUCUAGGCUCACAGAUCAAAUUGUGGUAACCAUUUUCAUGGGCAAGAUAUGACCGGUCUUAACUAGAGUUAGUUAAGAAUCCACGUUCCGUAGGUGAACCUGCGGAAGGAUCAUUCACAAUGAGUGUUUUAUGGCACUCUUUAAAAAUCCAUAUCCACCUUGUGUGCAAUGUUUGUUGGGAGAG
rnacentral:misc_RNA from 1 species